rnacentral:rRNA from 1 species
CGUGAAGUUGGAAUCGCUAGUAAUCGCGGAUCAGCAUGCCGCGGUGAAUACGUUCCCGGGCCUUGUACACACCGCCCGUCACACCAUGAGAGUCGGGAACACCCGAAGUCCGUAGCCUAACCGCAAGGGGGCGCGGCCGAAGGUGGGUUCGAUAAUUGGGGUGAAGUCGUAACAAGGUAGC